UUACAUCCUGGGACCAGUUCUUGUAGUAGCUUCAUCCUAGCAUUAAUCUUCUCUCUCCUUGCCUACAGACAUAUAUAUAUAAUCAAGAUAAUUAAAAGCUUAAUUAUAUGUAAUUACUAAUUACCAUGUUUAGCAAAACAUUAGAAGCUCUUAAUCUUACUCUUUCUGCUAAACUAUGGCUAUCAGUGGCUUGGCCUCGACGCGCUCGGACGUGAACAUAUGGUAGCUUCUCGCCGCCGUCUUCUGAGAGAAAAUGAAAAUUCUGGCUUCGUCAUGGGGUGUUGAAAUUACCUUUUUCUCGCGUUCCUUUCUCUUUGUUGAUUUCUGAUGGACUAGUGGAUUGGAAGUCGCCGGAGAUGAGUUGUGGUUACAUUCGGAAUCUAGGGGUUCUUGCUUGACGAACAGUGAUUUCGACCCGGAAUUCGAAAGGGUUGAAUUGGACUCCGGGGAGUUACCGGCGGCGGCGAAGACGGAGAACUUAGAAG
rnacentral:lncRNA from 1 species